UCUCAGCCUCCUAAGUAGAUGGGACUGCAUGCAUGAGCCACUGUGCCAGGCUAAUAGUUAUUCUUAAUAACAUAAUUGACUUACAGCAAUAAGCUAAUAUGGCAAAUUAAUUCAUAUUUGUAAUUUGGGGGGCACAUUUUGACACUAACUUAUUUGGUAGAAUGAGACUCUGUCAUCCAUCAUUUUAGUCAGUUCAUGGGAACAUGAUUACAGAUAUUCUCUCAUUCUCUGUUAAUAUUUACUACUUACCAACUAUGAGCUUGGCACUGUGAUAAGUUCUGGGUAAUGGUGGCGACCAUUCUUUAAGGGCUAUAGUGGAAUACUGGUAAUACCUACUCUAGUAAGACACAGGACAAGAUGCUUUAUGGUGCUUUGUAGUGCAGAUUUCCAGGACUCAGCCAAAACUUUUACCCCAUGUGCUGGAGCAGAUCAAAAACUCUUUUUCACUGAAGAUGAUACUAUAAGCAUACAUUUUUAAUUCAGGCAGUUUAGGUCUUAUUCUAGCUAUCAGACCUUGAGCAAGUAACCUAAAUCUCCUUGUCUCAGUUUCUACAUUUGCAAAAUGGGGAUAAUAAUAUGUACUAUAUUGGAUUCUUACAAGAAUUAAAUGAGAUAAUCCAUUGAAGGCAUAUAGAUUAUUGUCUGCCAUGCAGUUAAAUACUUAAUAAACAUAAUAAUGAUAAUUUUGAUGAUGGAGAUGGCAGCUGUCUUGUUCUCUUAUAUACACAGGCAAAUUUUUUCUCCAUCCAGGUAUGUGCUCUGGUUAGUCUAAUUAUUUUAAAAGGAUAUUAACUUUACCUAUUUUUUCAUCUGGCUUAAAAAAAUAUAUAGGUAUGUCCUGGACUGGCAUCUACAAACAACUGCUUUCUAUACAAUAUCUAUGCAAGAUCUAGCAGAGAAAAAUGAGAUGUGGGAAAUUAUUUAAGGUGAUGUAAUUCAUUCAUUAUUCUAAAUAUUGUAAGUUCUAUUGUUAGAGAAAACAUAAUUUCCAAAAGGCUAUAAAUUUGGGCUACACAUGUCUUAGUCCUCUGAGGAAACUCCAUUUUUUUUUUUUAUUGAAAAAGGAAAGAAGAAAGAACUAUAAGAGAUCUAUUACUGUGCUUGUUAUUGAAAUUCUAUAAAAGCUAUAGCUAUCUAACUUUUCGUCAUAAUCUCUAAAGAUGCUUCCACAUUCUAGAGAUGCCUUUUUUCAGCUUCUCUUAUGGGUAAUUGCUUUUAAAAAAACACUGAGAAAAAUGGUAUUAUGGAAAAUUAUUUGUUAGUUAUAUCUUUAUCAACCUUUUAAUACUGUUUUUAAAUAAACUUUUACUACCAGAAGGCUAUAAACUCAAAUUACUGUACAUUAUCUAUAUUAAACCAAAAGGUAUAAAAUAACAAGGAAUGACUGAUCUACCUUAAUGUAUAGAAAAGGAAUGAACUUCCAUUCUACCAGUUCAUCAUACACUUAAUCAGUAGUUAAAACCAUUGUUCCCUAGCCCACUCCUUCCAGGGAACCCCUGCAAUCAGACUUACCUAUGUGCUGCAGAAGGGCAAGAAAGCAAACAAUACUAUUAGUGGAGACCUACAUGAAUAAGGAAUACUGGAUAUAAAAGUAGAAUCAGCAGCUAAGAAGAGAAAGAUCAAUGUGAGCAAUCAGUAUAAAUGGUAUUCAAUGAAGAGAGAUACUGCAAGAAACAGGAAUGGUGACUGAAAUUUUCUAACUUUGUUUUCAGUUAUAUGGAGAGGAAUUGUGUCAAUAAAGCAGAACUAUACUACUAAAGAAAAGGAGGAAUCAAUAAUAAAACAACCAAAAAGAGUUGAACUAACCUACACGUCCACCCUGGUACAUGAAAUUCAGAAUUCCUCCACAUCCUGAGCACCAUAGUAGACCAAAUGAGAUGGACAAGCCAUUAACAGAAUAUGGUGGGAAUUAGAUUUAAAUAAAAUCAAUUCUACAAUCUUGUUUGGUUUUUCACAUCACUAACAUUUUGGAAGAGUGCAGGUCAGUAGUUUUGCAGACUGUUCCUCAGUUUGAAUGUGUCUGGUAAAUUCCCCGUGGUUAGACUUAGGCUAAACAUUAUUG
rnacentral:lncRNA from 1 species